rnacentral:misc_RNA from 1 species
UCCGGUUUGUCACCGGCAGUCUCCUUAGAGUUCCCACCAUUACGUGCUGGCAACUAAGGACAAGGGUUGCGCUCGUUGCGGGACUUAACCCAACAUCUCACGACACGAGCUGACGACAGCCAUGCAGCACCUGUCACUCAUCCAGCCGAACUGAAGGAAGCCAUCUCUGGAAUCCGCGAUGAGGAUGUCAAACGCUGGUAAGGUUCUGCGCGUUGCUUCGAAUUGAACCACAUACUCCACCGCUUGUGCGGGCCCCCGUCAAUUCCUUUGAGUUUCAGCCUUGCGGCCGUACUCCCCAGGCGGGGCACUUAAUGCGUUAGCGCCGGCACCCAGGGGGUCGCUCCCCCAGGCACCUAGUGCCCAUCGUUUACGGCGUGGACUAC